UGUUUUGUUUACUUUUAUAAAAAAAUGAUCUGUGCAGCAAAAUACAAUAUUUUUAACAAUGAAAAGUUUUAAACUUUCAAGUCUUGCUUUAAAAUAUUAUAAGAGCAAUGAACUACCCAUUCAAAAAAUGAAAAAUUUAAUUUUGUUUACAGGUCAGAGUAAAAUUGUGAUAGUAAGGUACGGUAUAAGCACAUAAUAGGUACCAAAUUUGCCCUCUACGUACGGUACGGUAGGCCUACCGUAAAAACUGCGCUCCAUAUACUCCAUUAUAAGAUCGGUUGGAAAAUUUAGCUUCAACGAGGAUGGGACGAAAUCAGUGGGAACAGUCGGCUACAGAGACGUGGAUUGCAACUUUGUUGACUUGACAUAUGUAGCGUGUUCGUCAGAUGUUCUGGACGAACAUAUCCGCGCACCAAUUCGCGAGUUCUCCGAACAACUGAGAAGUUGCGAUGCCACGUCAAGUAAACCUAAUGGCCAAAUAUCACUGCAGUUCUAUCAGAAACGAAAAUCCCGUUGGAAAUCAACAGCUGCUGUUCCAUGGGAGAUCUGGAACCUUGACGUGGAACUUAUCAAAGUGAACAAUCAGUUUGAAGUAGAGAGGAAUCGUGAAGAAAUCGGCCAGGUGUUGUCGGAAAAACUUUUUAUCGUGAUAGAAGCACUUGACAAGCACAUUUAUAUCCCGGAUAAUGUAAGUUCGGACAAUCUUGACACAAUCUUUGAAACUUCAUUUCCGGACAUUCAGCCGUACCUUUUUGAAAUUAUGUACGUUACACCCAACAGCAAUACAUUUUUUAAUAACACUAAGCAACAGAUAUUCAAUUUCCUACACAAAUCAGUAUUUUUGUAAAGACGUUUGCAAGACUUCCAAAUUAUUUGUGAAUCACAUCAAAAUUUCAUCUUCUAAGUAGAAGAAAAUACUCGUAAAUAAAAUUGAGAAGUGCAAGUAUAAAAGUAAACGACGGUACAAAUUUUCCUAGCAAUUGACAAAUACUCAUUAUCAAUUACUGCUUUUGUGUUUCAUUAUAAUAUACGAGGUGUGGUUAUAAAAUAACCUGAUUAUGCUGCUAAACAUUUUGUUUUGAAUUAGUUCCAUAAGGUAGGUUUACACUCUGAACACCCGCCAAGUCUACCGAUAGAUAACCAUAUGCUGUUCCUGGAUAGUUAAGCCACUACCAUCUAAAUUUACAAAUUUGUAAAUCUAGGUGGUAGUGGUUAAGUUCGAUCCUGAUAAUGAGUGGGACAAGGAAGCAAGUCAGGAUGUCUUCAGCUUGGCUUUUUGCUUUGGCGGACCGUUGCUCCCUGUGUUGGCUAGUUAGUUGGCGAUUGAUAGGAACAUUACUCUCGGUUCACUCUUCUGGUCGGUUGCUUGGUGUGACAAAGUUGAGAUGCCUGAAAGAUAGUGAGUCUUGGUAUGACUGGCCUAGCUGCAGCUAGUAGGUUUCUCAUGAGGGGAUAGGAAGGUCAUGUUACAGUUCAACAAGUGCUUCAAAAGGGUAACAGUGGUCGCAGUCUGGAGACCACUCCCACAGGAUAAAGAUUUAAAGAGUAUGAGCAUAGCAGUGAAAGGACUGAUAUGAUAGGAUAGGAGAAAAAUUUAUUAGGAAAGAGAAUGCUAACACACAUCAUCUUAUAUAGCCAAUGGCUAUGCUAAGAAGUAGUUAAGAUGUAAGGGGAUAUUGCCUGUGAAGGCUUACGUUCACAUAUUGCGCAGUGUGUACUUUUCUGAUGAUGAUGUGUUUACUGAUAGUCAUGCAUUUUUUUAGCAUUUCAGCUUGUUACAAAUCCCCUUGGUGACACCCCAUUCCUUGUAAGGGGUGGAGGGUAUAAGAAGAGGAGUUUUCCAACCCCUGUGGCACCACCUUGAAAGGUGUGAUACAGUCUGCCAAUUGUUGGCAUCACCUUUAUAGAUGUGAGCCAUGAACACUACCUUGGGUCACUGAUUGUUCCCAAAAUUGUCCUCUCAAAUUACAACUUACUUAGUUUUCCUGUGAGCCGUUCUUAUUUCCUGGAGGAGACAACCUGUCCACUAUUCCUUCUUCUUUGUGCUAACUUUGUUUGCAGCGAAUUGGUUUGCUUAGAAAGACAGGUGGAAAGGCUUCCAUUUAUACACUAGUUGUUGGAAACAACUUAUUCCACAAGUUGGAAACCAUCUUGAACGGCUGUCUCUAUAGGCUAUAACACCAAGUUGUCAUCACAACUUUACAUACCUAUUUGGUACAGUGAUUUUAAUCGCUUAUCAUAUGUUAUUUUUCUGAUGGUGUAGUUAGCUCCAUGGUGUGUGUCAUUCCCCCCUUCCCUUCCUAAAGAGCUCUUUUUGGUGCUUCAUUUGUGUAAAGUUUUCAAUUUGCCAUUGAAGUGUUCCAGUAAUUCUUGACACUCAAUGUCUUCUUUGGUAUCCCUGGUUCUUUGGUUUUGAUUAGUUGAGAUGGAUCCUAGGUUUUUGCGAAUGUUUAAUCUCUCAACUGCUUUGCACACUCCAAUUGGUUUAAGAUCAGAGGAUCACUAUAGAGCUGACAAUUGCAAAUGGACGUCCAUUGAUUUAAAACACCACAAUAUAUCGGUUUCCAGGUUUUGAUCUUGGGAGAAACCAAUUAGGUCACUUUUGAUGGUUUCCAAUGAGUGAUAUGCAUUCCAUGUGUCCCCCAUCUGUCAAUACAGGACAUAUUAUGUUCUGGACGAAUUAUCAUAAAAUGUUCUGGACGCAGAAUAUAUCUGCACUUCACGAGAUCUCUGAAUAACUCAGAACUGGUGAUGCCACAUUAAGUAAAUUCGAUGGCCAAAUCUCACAGCAAUUCGACCAGAAACGAAAAUCCUGUUGUAAAUCAACAGCAGCUCUUUCAUGGGAGAUCUGGAACCUUGAGGUAGAACUCAUCAAACUGAAGUUAACUUCUAUUAUUAUUAUUAUUUUUGAAGGGACGGAUUCAAGGAUCCAAAGAUUCAAAGAACCUCACACGUCAACCGAAGCUUAUUGUGUUCCCAAGUAGUAUGUUAGUUAGGCAA
rnacentral:misc_RNA from 1 species